UGAGGUCUUAUAGUUAGGUAGA
rnacentral:miRNA from 1 species